AAGAAAGCACAAGCAAAGAUCACUGGAAACAAUUAAUACAUUAGAAUAACCUUUCUAUAUAGCUAGCUGCUGCAGGAAUCUCAGCAUUUAAGAAUGAUUCCGAUCCAUAAAAAGAAUUUGAAAUUCCCAUGGAACCUAAUGGAGCAUGAAAAUAAAUUCACUUGAUGCAGAUCCUAGAAAUCAAAUUCAAAUUAUUCAAAUUUUCCUUACCAAGAAAUUUCUUAAGUUUGCACAACUGAAGUAUGAUUAUCAAAGGCAGAUAUGGGUCAUGACUAUCGAGAAAUUGCUGCAUUUUCACAGCAUAAUCAUCCCAUAAAGUACAGCGUAUCCUAUUCCCUCUAUUAAUAGAAAAAUCAAAACUAUUAAAGUUAAUCUAUUAAAGUGAUCGUUUCCUAAGGGAACCCACCUGAUUCAACAACCAUACCGCGUUGUUCCGCAAGCCUAGAAUCAUCCAUUUGCGCUGUUUGUGUACCCAAACCCGCAGUCCUCAAAACACCAUCUUGACAGCUUCAACCCUCAACUUCAGAAGCAUGUUCAGACAUCAAUACUGAUCCAAAAAUAGUGAAACAUGUACCCAAAAUGACGGUAAUUUCGUUAGCUUUCCAUAGCAACAAACGAAAUUUAAAUCGGAUCUACGAGGAGAGAGUACUGACCGUUUUAGUGAAGCCCUGUCUAGAAACACGAGUUUCACCAAUCUUCUUCUAAAUUGCUCCAAAUCCCUUAACCAUGGCUCCUUGAUUCUUGAAGCUCAUAUGCAAGAUGAAACUCAAUCUUAGGCUUGACUAAAACACUCACAAAAGCACAAACAAAUCAAAGUAAAAAAUUUAUGAAAACCCAAAAAAUUGAAAAAGGGGUUCAUUCUAGUAAAAUCAAAUACUAAAAAAAAAAUUAAAGAAAACAAUACCUUCUCUAUAUCCACUCUUGAAUCUGCGAGGCAUCCUAAUAGCUUCUCAUUCCAGUUAUCUAAAAACAUUCAACCACAACAAAAAUUCAAUCUUCAAUUUCCAAUUCUAAAAACAAAAACAAAAAAAUAAAUAAAUAAAUAAAUUUUGACACAAACACA
rnacentral:lncRNA from 1 species